GAUGAAGAACGCAGCGAAAUGCGAUACGUAAUGUGAAUUGCAGAAUUCAGUGAAUCAUCGAAUCUUUGAACGCAUAUUGCGCUCUCUGGUAUUCCGGAGAGCAUGCUUGUUUGAGUAUCAGUAAACACCUCAACUUCCAUAUCUUUUUUGAAAUGGGAGUUGGACUUGAGUGAUCCCAACGCUUUUCCUCACCGAAAAGUGGCGGGUUACUUGAAAUGCAGGUGCAGCUGGACUUUUCUCUGAGCUAUAAGCAUAUCUAUUUAGUCUGCCUAAAAAACAGAUUAUUACCUUUGCUGCAACUAACAUAAAGGAGAUUAGUUCUUGUGCUGACUGAUGCAGGAUUCACAAAGACAGGCUUCGGCCGACUUUGUAAACUCGAUCUCAAAUCAAGUAAGACUACCCGCUGAACUUAAGCAUAUCAAUAAGCGGAGGA
rnacentral:misc_RNA from 1 species